rnacentral:rRNA from 1 species
GACGAACGCUGGCGGCGUGCUUAACACAUGCAAGUCGAACGAUGAAGAAGAGAAACGCGAACUUCGGUUCAAAUUUCACUUCGGAUUAGUGGCAGACGGGUUAGUAACGCGUGAGCAACCUACCUCUUACAAAGGGAUAGCCUCGGGAAACCGUGAUUAAUACCAUAUGACACAUUCAUAAGGCAUCUUAAGAAUGUUAAAGCUACGGCGGUAAGAGAUGGGCUCGCGUCCCAUUAGCUAGUUGGUGAGGUAACGGCCCACCAAGGCGACGAUGGGUAACCGGCCUGAGAGGGUGAACGGUCACAUUGGAACUGAGACACGGUCCAAACUCCUACGGGAGGCAGCAGUGGGGAAUAUUGCACAAUGGAGGGAACUCUGAUGCAGCGACGCCGCGUGAGAGAUGAAGGAAUUCGUUUCGUAAAGCUCUGUUCUAUGGGAAGAAAAGGACUGUACCAUAGGAGAAAGCCCCGGCUAAAUACGUG